rnacentral:rRNA from 1 species
CGAAACUGCGAAUAGCUCAUUAAUACGCUCAGAAUCUAUUUGGCGGCGACCAACAGGUCUUAAAUGGAUAGCAGCAGCAACUCUGGUGCUAAUACAUGCGAUUGUUUCUCCAGAUGUGAAUUAUGGAGGAAAAGUUGACCUCAUCAGAGGCACGCCAUUCGACUGAGUGACCUAUCAGCUUGUACUUAGGGUCUUUACCUAGGUAGGCUAUCACGGGUAACGGGCGGUUACCGUCGGACUGCCGGAGAAGGCGCCUGAGAGAUAGCGACUAUAUCCACGGGUAGCAGCAGGCGCGAAACUUUCCCACUCGAGACUUUCGGAGGAGGUAAUGACCAGUUCCAUUGGUGCCUUUUGGUACUGUGGAUAGGGGUACGGUUUUCCACCGUACCGAAACCUAGCAGAGGGCCAGUCUGGUGCCAGCAGCUGCGGUAAUUCCAGCUCUGCGAGUUUGCUCCCAUAUUGUUGCAGUUAAAACGCCCGUAGUCUGAAUUGGCCAGCAAUGGUCGUACGUAUUUUUACGUUCACUGUGAACAAAUCAGGACGCUUAGAGUAUGGCCACAUGAAUGACUCAGCGCAGUAUGAAGUCUUUGUUUUCUUCCGAAAACAAGCUCAAUGAGAGCCAUCGGGGGUAGAUCUAUCUCAUGACGAGUGGUGGAAUACUUUGACUCAUGAGAGAGAAGCUGAGGCGAAGGCGUCUACCUAGAGGGUUUCUGUCGAUCAAGGGCGAGAGUAGGAGUAUCCAACAGGAUUAGAGACCCUGGUAGUUCCUACCUUAAACGAUGCCGACAGGAGUUUGUCAUUUGUUAAUGGCAGAAUCUUUGGAGAAAUCAUAGUUCUUGGGGCUCUGGGGGGAACUACGACCGCAAGGCUGAAACUUGAAGGAAUUGACGGAAGGGCACACCAGGGGUGGAGCCUGUGGCUUAAUUUGAAUCAACACGGGGGAAACUUACCAGGACCAGAUGUUUUUUAUGACUGACAGGGCUUCGGGUCUUUCAGGAUAUUGUUUUUGGUGGUGCAUGCCCGUUGGUGGUGCGUGGGUUGACCUGUCUAGCGUUGAUUCAGCUAACGAGCGAGAUUAUCGCCAAUUAUUUACUUUGCCGAAGUCCUCCGGUUAAAGUUCUAAUUGGGACUCCCUGGGAAUUUUAGCAGGGGGGAAGAAGGGUAGCAAUUAACAGG